rnacentral:rRNA from 1 species
AGUCGACGAAAGCGAUGGAAGCUUGCUUCUAUCAAUCUUAGUGGCGAACGGGUGAGUAACGCGUAAUCAACCUGCCCUUCAGAGGGGGACAACAGUUGGAAACGACUGCUAAUACCGCAUACGAUCUAAUCUCGGCAUCGAGGAUAGAUGAAAGGUGGCCUCUACAUGUAAGCUAUCACUGAAGGAGGGGAUUGCGUCUGAUUAGCUAGUUGGAGGGGUAACGGCCCACCAAGGCGAUGAUCAGUAGCCGGUCUGAGAGGAUGAACGGCCACAUUGGGACUGAGACACGGCCCAGACUCCUACGGGAGGCAGCAGUGGGGAAUCUUCCGCAAUGGACGAAAGUCUGACGGAGCAACGCCGCGUGAGUGAUGACGGCCUUCGGGUUGUAAAGCUCUGUUAAUCGGGACGAAAGGCCUUCUUGCAAAUAGUGAGAAGGAUUGACGGUACCGGAAUAGAAAGCCACGGCUAACUACGUGCCAGCAGCCGCGGUAAUACGUAGGUGGCAAGCGUUGUCCGAAAUUAUUGGGCGUAAAGCGCGCGCAGGCGGAUAGGUCAGUCUGUCUUAAAAGUUCGGGGCUUAACCCCGUGAUGGGAUGGACACUGCCAAUCUAGAGUAUCGGAGAGGAAA